UUCUUGUUUUUAGUUACCAAAAAUAAUUGCAGGCAAACUCCUGCAAGCUGUCUGAAUUACACAAAAACAUUAGCAAUGUUACAAACCAAAACGUUGCCAAUGUACUCUUUCAUCUUAAAGGCGGGGUUGGUUAAUUUUCUCCAGAUACACUUUUUAAGAUGUUGGUUGAAAUUGUCUUUAGGCCCUGACAGAAAUUAAUAACUUAUGUUCUCUGAAAAAGAAACAGAGAAAAUCUGCCAUCUGUAGCAGUUGUAAUGUAGUUGUCAUGUAAAAACUUCGACCAAUGUCUGCCAAGAGGUACCAAUCUGAUGAACCAAUCACAGCCUUCCUGUCUCCCUGCUCGUUCUCUACCCCUUGCGUGAACUAGCCCACACAAGAGUAGAGUUUAUACUGCGAGUUUACUUACCCCUGAAUGAGACGACGGUGUUUCUACACAAUGCAAGCGAUGAGCUGAGGUCCCCUUCUGGUGCGACGGCGCUCGUGCAUGUUAGUGAGGGGCCGUGGCUUUUGAGGGAGCACAGAGGGGAGGGGGUGUAGACGGAGCACUGAGGGGAUGCUACUUUCAAAAUCAUGCUAGUUUUUUCGAAAAUUUCCCAACCCUGCUUUUAAAUGAAAGUAGACUAUUUACCCAAACAUCACAUAACUUAAGCUAAGGUAUACGUUCAGAAGGGUAUAUAUAUAUAUAUAUAUAUAUAUAUCAUAAUUGUUGGUCAUAAUUGUUUCCUGAAUAGAGGAGUUAUUAAGUAAAGGAUUACUUUAAUGUGGCACAAAAUCAGAGGCUAUGUCGUUUUGGAUGAAUCACUGAAGACACAAAUAUGAUCAGGUUAUGCUCACCGAAGUGUAAUAUUUGUGAUUCUAUCGAACAUCUUCAACAAAACUGUCAUUUUUAAAGAUACACAUUAAAGUUAUGAAUGUCAACACAAA